rnacentral:SRP_RNA from 1 species
CCGUGCUAGGUGGGGAGCUAGCGGUUCCCUGUACCCGCAAUCCGCUCCAGCGGGGCUGAAUCCCCCUCCGAGGCGCCGUCGAACAGGGUCUGGCCGGUGCGCGCAGCAACGAGGGCCGGGUCCUGCGCAACGAGAUCUGACCAACCCCGCCAGGUCCGGAAGGAAGCAACGGUACGUCAGCCGUUUCGUGUGCCGCAGGGACACCUGGCCGGAGCCGGCGGCAUCGGAUUCGCCUGGGCGAAGGGUGACGACGAGGGGUGCACGG